rnacentral:rRNA from 1 species
GAUGAACGCUGGCGGCGUGCCUAAUACAUGCAAGUCGAGCGAACAGACGAGGAGCUUGCUCCUCUGACGUUAGCGGCGGACGGGUGAGUAACACGUGGAUAACCUACCUAUAAGACUGGGAUAACUUCGGGAAACCGGAGCUAAUACCGGAUAAUAUAUUGAACCGCAUGGUUCAAUAGUGAAAGACGGUUUUGCUGUCACUUAUAGAUGGAUCCGCGCCGCAUUAGCUAGUUGGUAAGGUAACGGCUUACCAAGGCAACGAUGCGUAGCCGACCUGAGAGGGUGAUCGGCCACACUGGAACUGAGACACGGUCCAGACUCCUACGGGAGGCAGCAGUAGGGAAUCUUCCGCAAUGGGCGAAAGCCUGACGGAGCAACGCCGCGUGAGUGAUGAAGGGCUUCGGAUCGUAAAACGCUGUUAUUAGGGAAGAACAAAUGUGUAAGUAACUAUGCACGUCUUGACGGUACCUAAUCAGAAAACCACGGCUAACUACGU